GACACAACUGAAAUUGGACUGAUGUUAGACAAAUCGCCUACACCGUAAAUAUGAAAGUUAGCAGGGAAUGGAGGAUAUCAAUAAUUGACGAUAUCUGUCCAUCCUGUAGCAAAUCUGUCCUCCAAAUACUGUGAACAAAUGAACUAAUGAUAGCGGUUUGGUUAUCAUCAUGUGGCGCAUUCCCGACAACAGUGAAGAAGAACUAAAUAACAAAAAUCGGCAGAAAAGAUACCCAAGUCCACUGGAAAACUUUAUGAGGUCCAAUUUUCAGCGAUCAUCUGCUCAUGAGCUCCGGCACCUAGCGAAUGUGUGAAAAUCCCAUAUAAACCAGCGACAGACCGAGGGGCGAACAAAUGGCUCCAUUGACAAACUCGGCUACGAGCUCGCUCAGCCAACGGAUGUGUCAAAGUUUGACGAUGAUUAGCGCACCUGAGAGUUAAGUUAUUCCUGUCAACAUCAAUAUUAGCUUACAGCUCUCGUGAACAUAAGAAAUCGACAACGACGAGGAAACAACUUCGACCGCAAUCGACGGUUGAUACGACGGCCAUUCAUGCCGCCGAAGUCAUUGGUUUCUUUGGGGAUUUUAUGUUUAACUUCACUGUGCAGUGGAAUAAGUGGAAAGUACUUGAAAUGCACUCCAUUUGUUAUUGCAUUGUUUCUUUGCGGUGUGAAUCGCCCCAAAUGCAUCUUCCAUUCAUUCGGAACCGGAUUUGCCAUUAUUAGCCGGAAGCCGCCCGGGACAAUCAAAGCAUGGAGCAUUAGAUUGAGUUGGUCUUUUGACAACAUUGUCGCUACAUAAUCAAUGCACUUCAUGCCUAUCAACCGGCAGGAGAAUGGAAACUUUCUCUGAUCGUCCACGCCGCAUUACACCGAUUAUUAAUGAUCAUUCACGGCUGUGUUAAAGGUACCAAAUACAUGCGACACAGUUGCUACAUGCUUCUUGAAUAAAUUCAUGGCUUUGAUGAUAUGAGCCUAGUCUGCAGCCCUCUUUUACUUUACAACAAUACCCUUUUACAACAAUCUAUUUUUCUAUUUCGUAAAAUCGAAAGAGAGAAAAAAGAGAUGAAGAGAUCUGUACAGGACAAAUAAUGAAAAAAAUCAUGGCAAUCAUGCUGGAGAAGUGGCGUUCAAAAUCCAUGUUUUUG